GACGAACGCUGGCGGCGUGCUUAACACAUGCAAGUCGAACGGAAAGGCCCCGCUUUUGUGGGGUGCUCGAGUGGCGAACGGGUGAGUAACACGUGAGUAACCUGCCCUUGACUUUGGGAUAACUUCAGGAAACUGGGGCUAAUACCGGAUAGGAGCUCCUGCUGCAUGGUGGGGGUUGGAAAGUUUCGGCGGUUGGGGAUGGACUCGCGGCUUAUCAGCUUGUUGGUGGGGUAGUGGCUUACCAAGGCUUUGACGGGUAGCCGGCCUGAGAGGGUGACCGGCCACAUUGGGACUGAGAUACGGCCCAGACUCCUACGGGAGGCAGCAGUGGGGAAUAUUGCACAAUGGGCGGAAGCCUGAGGCAGCAACGCCGCGUGCGGGAUGACGGCCUUCGGGUUGUAAACCGCUUUCGCCUGUGACGAAGCGUGAGUGACGGUAAUGGGUAAAGAAGCACCGGCUAACUACGUG
rnacentral:rRNA from 1 species